AUCAUUACUGAGUUACCGCUCUAUAACCCUUUGUGAACGUACCUAACCGUUGCUUCGGCGGGCAGGGGAAGCCUCUCGCGGGCCUCCCCUCCCGGCGCCGGCCCCCACCACGGGGACGGGGCGCCCGCCGGAGGAAACCAAACUCUAUUUACACGACGUCUCUUCUGAGUGGCACAAGCAAAUAAUUAAAACUUUUAACAACGGAUCUCUUGGUUCUGGCAUCGAUGAAGAACGCAGCGAAAUGCGAUAAGUAAUGUGAAUUGCAGAAUUCAGUGAAUCAUCGAAUCUUUGAACGCACAUUGCGCUCGCCAGCAUUCUGGCGAGCAUGCCUGUUCGAGCGUCAUUUCAACCCUCAAGCACCGCUUGGUUUUGGGGCCCCACGGCCGACGUGGGCCCUUAAAGGUAGUGGCGGACCCUCCCGGAGCCUCCUUUGCGUAGUAACUAACGUCUCGCACUGGGAUCCGGAGGGACUCUUGCCGUUAAACCCCCAAAUUCUU
rnacentral:rRNA from 1 species